rnacentral:misc_RNA from 1 species
ACAAGUCAUUGGGAUAAUUCUAAUAAUGUUAACCGCGAACAUAAGCUGAGUAUUCAUUCUAAACACUAACCCUACUCGGUAGGAAUCAGCACUUUCCUCGCUGCUCAUUGGUUCACAAACUGACUUAAGCCAGUGCGUUGCAUUAUACAGAUCACACUUUUAGAUGCAAGCGUUGUUUGAAAAACAAACGAAAAAAUUAUAUUUUCUUACAGGCAACAAAAAGGGA